rnacentral:tRNA from 1 species
GGUUGUAGCUCAGCGGUAGAGCACUCGCCUAGACAUGUGAAGCCCUGGGUUCAAUCCUCAGCACCA